AGAGUUUGAUCAUGGCUCAAGAACGAACGCUGGCGGCAUGCCUAACACAUGCAAGUCGAACGAGACCUUCGGGUCUAGUGGCGCACGGGUGCGUAACGCGUGGGAAUCUGCCCUUGGGUUCGGAAUAACAGCGAGAAAUUGCUGCUGAUACCGGAUGAUGACGUAAGUCCAAAGAUUUAUCGCCCAAGGAUGAGCCCGCGUAGGAUUAGCUAGUUGGUGAGGUAAAGGCUCACCAAGGCGACGAUCCUUAGCUGGUCUGAGAGGAUGAUCAGCCACACUGGGACUGAGACACGGCCCAGACUCCUACGGGAGGCAGCAGUGGGGAAUAUUGGACAAUGGGCGAAAGCCUGAUCCAGCAAUGCCGCGUGAGUGAUGAAGGCCUUAGGUUGUAAAGCUCUUUUACCCGGGAUGAUAAUGACAGUACCGGGAGAAUAAGCUCCGGCUAACUCCGUG
rnacentral:rRNA from 1 species